ACGUUGAUGUAAUUAUAAUCAUAUUUAUUAUAAUUUUCUGCAUCUCCAUUUACUACCUCCAAUUUUUAAGCAGGCUCCAUACCCAGCAUGGAGCCCAACCAUGAACUCAGAAGCCUGAGAUCAAGACCUGAACUGAGAUCAAGUCAGUUGCUAAACCAAUUGGGUCACUCAGGUGCCCCCUUCUCCCAGUUCCCUUGGCUGACAACCCAGGGCACAACUCCUGCUUCCGUGAGUGCCUAAUACAAGAGUUGAAGCUCCCGGAGCCUUCUUUGAAAAAUGCCAUGCCUAAUGUUCUACUACAGAUGUUUGCCUUGAGUCAAAUAUGGAACUUAUGUAAAAUUAUACGUGGGUUGGUGGUGAGUAUUGCUUUUAUGAGAUAAGGAAUCAUUUCACAUUAUUCUCAUUUUACUUUAAUGCUUGGGGUCAUUUACACUGAGCAAUAGCACUUGACUCUGAAGAAACAGUGGUAGAAAUGCAA
rnacentral:lncRNA from 1 species